rnacentral:rRNA from 1 species
UACGUAGGGGGCUAGCGUUGUCCGGAAUCAUUGGGCGUAAAGAGCGUGUAGGCGGCCCGGUAAGUCCGCUGUAAAAGUCAAAGGCUCAACCUUUGAAUGUCAGUGGAUACUGCCGGGCUAGAGUCCGGAAGAGGCGAGUGGAACUCCUGGUGUAGCGGUGGAAUGCGCAGAUAUCAGGAAGAACACCAACGGCGAAGGCAGCUCGCUAGGACGGUACUGACGCUGAGGAGCGAAAGCGUGGGUAGCAAACAGG